rnacentral:rRNA from 1 species
GACGAACGCUGGCGGCGUGCUUAACACAUGCAAGUCGAACGGAAAGGCCCUGCUUUUGUGGGGUGCUCGAGUGGCGAACGGGUGAGUAACACGUGAGUAACCUGCCCUUGACUUUGGGAUAACUUCAGGAAACUGGGGCUAAUACCGGAUAGGAGCUCCUGCUGCAUGGUGGGGGUUGGAAAGUUUCGGCGGUUGGGGAUGGACUCGCGGCUUAUCAGCUUGUUGGUGGGGUAGUGGCUUACCAAGGCUUUGACGGGUAGCCGGCCUGAGAGGGUGACCGGCCACAUUGGGACUGAGAUACGGCCCAGACUCCUACGGGAGGCAGCAGUGGGGAAUAUUGCACAAUGGGCGGAAGCCUGAUGCAGCAACGCCGCGUGCGGGAUGACGGCCUUCGGGUUGUAAACCGCUUUCGCCUGUGACGAAGCGUGAGUGACGGUAAUGGGUAAAGAAGCACCGGCUAACUACGUGCCAGCAGCCGCGGUGAUACGUAGGGUGCGAGCGUUGUCCGGAUUUAUUGGGCGUAGAGGGCUCGUAGGUGGUUGAUCGCGUCGGAAGUGUAAUCUUGGGGCUUAACCCUGAGCGUGCUUUCGAUACGGGUUGACUUGAGGAAGGUAGGGGAGAAUGGAAUUCCUGGUGGAGCGGUGGAAUGCGCAGAUAUCAGGAGGAACACCAGUGGCGAAGGCGGUUCUCUGGGCCUUUCCUGACGCUGAGGAGCGAAAGCGUGGGGAGCGAACAGGCUUAGAUACCCUGGUAGUCCACGCUGUAAACGGUGGGUACUAGGUGUGGGGUCCAUUCCACGGGUUCCGUGCCGUAGCUAACGCUUUAAGUACCCCGCCUGGGGAGUACGGCCGCAAGGCUAAAACUCAAAGGAAUUGACGGGGCCCCGCACAAGCGGCGGAGCAUGCGGAUUAAUUCGAUGCAACGCGUAGAACCUUACCUGGGUUUGACAUGGAUCGGGAGCGCUCAGAGAUGGGUGUGCCUCUUUUGGGGUCGGUUCACAGGUGGUGCAUGGCUGUCGUCAGCUCGUGUCGUGAGAUGUUGGGUUAAGUCCCGCAACGAGCGCAACCCUUGUUCACUGUUGCCAGCACGUUAUGGUGGGGACUCAGUGGAGACCGCCGGGGUCAACUCGGAGGAAGGUGGGGAUGACGUCGAGUCAUCAUGCCCCUUAUGUCCAGGGCUUCACGCAUGCUACAAUGGCUGGUACAGAGAGUGGCGAGCCUGUGAGGGUGAGCGAAUCUCGGAAAGCCGGUCUCAGUUCGGAUUGGGGUCUGCAACUCGACCUCAUGAAGUCGGAGUCGCUAGUAAUCGCAGAUCAGCAACGCUGCGGUGAAUACGUUCCCGGGGCU